UUGUUUUCUUGCAGUCGUCGUCACAUGGUGGCCAGCCUUGCUCCCUCUUGAAGGCAUAUGCUAUGUCCCAUAAGGGCAAGGCGACGUCUGACGUCAACUACAAUCCGGAGGACGGGCCCGAGGCAUACAGCAACCCCAUGGUCCAUACCCGCCUCAAUGCGUACACAAUGAUGGCAAGGGAGGUCCAUGGUCCAGAGUUUGAUCCGGCCACCGAGGACCUUGACGGAGAAGUCGUCAUGAGGGUUGGAGGAGGUAAGAAUCAUGGGCGGUAUUAGAUUGCCGACAGCGCAAUCGACUCGUCCUCUACUCCUACUCUAUCUCAGAUUAGAGCAAGGAGCACGAGUGCGAGCCCAGGCAUACGACCUCGGCAAGACACUUCACAGUACCGGAUACAGGCACUCCAGGCCGAAUUAGAAGAAGAGAGGAGGCUAUGUCUGGAGAACGAGCACAGGAUGAGGGAUAUGUUUGCCUACAUGCAGACUCUUGGUGCCGCAACGGGUGUAGCUCCACCACCUUCGUUGUUCGCUUCACCUCGACCUCCUGCGGAGUUUUCUACUCCUAAUCAAUCGGCGGCCUCAAAUGACCCUCAUGUUUCUCCAACUACGCCGGUAUGGAGGUCGCCGGGUUGGAGGUCUUGAUCAUGAUUCUUACCACUUAUCCUGUUUCUAUAGACUUUUCAUGUUUUUGGACAUCCGUGGACUAUAUUGUGAGACAUGCAUAUUUAUGAUCUGUAAUAAUAGUACGUGUGUGAACCGAUUUGGGAUAUGUAUGUGAAUCAAUUGUGUUUGUAGUAUAGAUGUGAUGUUUGUGAUAUAGAUGUGAUAUUGGUGA